rnacentral:rRNA from 1 species
AUUGAACGCUGGCGGCAUGCUUUACACAUGCAAGUCGAACGGUAACAGGCCGCAAGGUGCUGACGAGUGGCGAACGGGUGAGUAAUGCAUCGGAACGUGCCCAGUCGUGGGGGAUAACGCAGCGAAAGCUGCGCUAAUACCGCAUACGAUCUAUGGAUGAAAGCGGGGGACCGUAAGGCCUCGCGCGACUGGAGCGGCCGAUGUCAGAUUAGGUAGUUGGUGGGGUAAAGGCUCACCAAGCCAACGAUCUGUAGCUGGUCUGAUAGGACGACCAGCCACACUGGGACUGGGACACGGCCCAGACUCCGACGGGAGGCAGCAGUGGGGAAUUUUGGACAAUGGGCGCAAGCCUGAUCCAGCAAUGCCGCGUGCAGGAAGAAGGCCUUCGGGUUGUAAACUGCUUUUGUACGGAACGAAACGGUCCUGGUUAAUACCUGGGGCUAAUGACGGUACCGUAAGAAUAAGCACCGGCUAACUACGUGCCAGCCGCCGCGGUAAAAC